rnacentral:misc_RNA from 1 species
GAUGAGAACGCAGCGAAAUGCGAUAAGUAAUGUGAAUUGCAGAAUUCAGUGAAUCAUCGAAUCUUUGAACGCACAUUGCGCCCUCUGGUAUUCCGGGGGGCAUGCCUGUUCGAGCGUCAUUAUAACCACUCAAGCUCUCGCUUGGUAUUGGGGUUCGCGGUUCCGCGGCCCCUAAAAUCAGUGGCGGUGCCUGUCGGCUCUACGCGUAGUAAUACUCCUCGCGAUUGAGUCCGGUAGGUCUACUUGCCAGCAACCCCCAAUUUUUACAGGUUGACCUCGGAUCAGGUAGGGAUACCCGCUGAACUUAAGCAUAUCAAUAAGCGGAGGA